rnacentral:lncRNA from 1 species
AAGAUAUCCAUUAAAAACAAUAAGUUCAUACAACCCUAAGAAUAUAAAAUAAAAUAUAAAACCCAUGUCCCUGUUUUAGGGCUGCAUCCAGCCCUAGUGAGAAGUUCAGCCCUGCAUGGAGAAUUGAACAGCCGUGGCAGAGGAGAAGACUUCCAUCGCGACCAGCUCUUCUUUCUUUCUUCCUCUGGCGACUUCCAUUGAAGAACUUCCUCUCAGCACUUCAUUUUUUUUUUAUAUGAGAAAUCAUUCCCACAAUAUCCAAAACUCUUCUCUCCCUUCUUUGUUUCUUUCUUCCCGUGGGAUUUGGCCUGUGAGGGAAUAAUGGGGGAAGAAGAAUGGAACGGAGGAGAGAAUGCCUUCUCCUCUUCAAGCUUGACUCCUUUUAUAGGCUCGGCGUCCCCUCUCUCUCUUCCUUUUCUGUGGUUGAUCCGAUCGUUGGAUAAACUCGUGGAGGCUUCCUCUCUUCCGCGGAUGAUGGGGGAUGUUGUCAAGCUGAUCCGGUCAUUGGAUGGUUGCUGGUUCUCCUCAGAAGGAGGCUGCGGACGUGGACGAAUGGGAGCUAGGAUCGGAAUGGGAUGAAGUCGGCUUGAUCCUUGGCUGCAGGGGAUGGCGAGAACGUUGAGAGGAUCUCGGAUCUGUUCCAAAGCAUGGGAAGACUGUGAGGAUAGGCGUGGGAAGUUUGUUGAGAUUCGAGUUUAUCCCGUGAGAGAAUGCUCUGUUCCGUGAAGCUCGGGAGGAUGAAGCCGAAUCGUGGGAUGAUUGCGGACGAAAUUUGGGAUCAAUGGCUCUGUUUUGAAGCUAAAACAGGGGAUGCGGAAGCUAAGAACGUGGGUUAAGGAUGCUAGAUUUGAUUCGCUGGGAUUGGAGUUCAUCCGGAAGAAAAUCUCUGUUCCGCUGAUGAGAGCUGAUGCCGUUUGGGGAGUGAUCCGGAAGAGUUGGGGAUGAAGACACGUGAAACAGGGGAUGUUUGGAUGAAGCGGCUUUGGGAUGCGGCUGUAGGCUUUUGAGAAGAUCUCGGAUGGUUGUUCUUUGGAUGCGGAAGGAGUUGAAUUCCUGAGCUUUAUCCAUGGACGAUGGGACUCCGUUCCAAACGGGAUGAAGGGGAGAUGAACUCGAUCACGGAAAAGAUGGGAUUUGGGACGGCUGGGAGAUAGCUGGUUGCGGCUGGGAGGAAAUCCCGAAAUGAAUGAUCCGUGGGAGAUGAAGGCUAGAUUCUGUUGGGAAGAGAUGAUUCCGAAAUAGGGGAGAUGAAGAUGUAUUGCGAAGAAGAUAAGGAUGCAAGGCUGGGUUUGAUAGGAAAUUUAGGAGAGGAAUACGAUGGAGGCAAUCGGGAAGAGUGUGGACAGUGGAAUGGUGGGAGGAAUCCGUCGCGAUGGAAUGGAUCUUGGCUUUGGGAUAAAGAUGAAGUCAGAUCACGGAGGAGAUGGGAUCUUGAUACUCGGUUCCGAACGGAGGAAGAUGAUCUAGUAUUUGUUCCAUGCGCUGAGAAGGGGACUUGGGGAUUCGGUUGAGCCAGGAGAAUGAGGAAACUUUCUACGUGGAAUACGUAGAAAGCCCUGUUCUUUGGAUGCACAUGGGAGGUUGGUUUCAGUUGGAAAUAAAGGAUCUUUGAGAGUGAUGCUAGAUUUAGAACUAUGAACGGUUGCGGCUCUAAUCCGGAACAAGAAAAAUAAUGUGGAAGAUGAACUCGGGCAUGAGGGAUGAUGUGUGAAUUGGAGGAGAUGGGGUGAGUUUUGGGAUCCGUGCAACGAUAGUGGUAUGCUUUGAGAUCUGAGAGACAAAUAACUGAAGGGAUUUGAGGAAUUGGAUCAUGUGGAAAAAGAGUUGGAACGAGUGGGAAGAAAAUUAGGUGACUGAAUCAGAGGGUCUUGAUUUGCGGGGUGCAUGCGAUUUGGGUUCAGAGAUCAUCCUAAAUCAAUUCGGCUUGACCUGCAUCCAUUAGACUCAACCAAUAAUAAUAAUAAAAAGAAUCAAACUUGAAUAAUUUAUUUAAAAUGAAAUGAUGAAGGAAAACACAUUUUUUUAGUUAAAUUUACAAAAU